CGUCGUCGGUGUCGUACGUGAUUCUUCGCCAAGACGCGCAGACCAAUCUGCUCGGAAGCUAAUCGUACCGUAAAUAACAACAGCUUUGAUUUUUUGUUUUGUUUUACCUGUACAGACAAGUAACUAAGCAGCAGCGGGGGCGCGCGAAUAACUGCGACCUGCCGGACUAGGGUGAUACGGCGUAAGGUUGGCGAGUUCCUGGUAUGGUUAUGGGUGGUGAUUAAAACAGGAGUUUGUAAACUGUUACAGUACCUGGUAUAAAAAUGAACUUCGUUUUAAAAUGUCUGAA